AGUGAGAUUGCUGGGUCAUAUGAUAACUCUCUUUAACUUUUUGAGGAACUGCCAAACUGUUUUCCAAAGUGGCUGUACCGUUUUACAUUCCUACCAGCAGU
rnacentral:pre_miRNA from 1 species